rnacentral:rRNA from 1 species
CCUACGGGUGGCAGCAGUGAGGAAUAUUGGUCAAUGGGCGAGAGCCUGAACCAGCCAAGUCGCGUGAGGGAGUACUGCCCUAUGGGUUGUAAACCUCUUUUGUCGGGGAGCAAAAGCCGGACGUGUCCGGCUGUGAGAGUACCCGAAGAAAAAGCAUCGGCUAACUCCGUGCCAGCAGCCGCGGUAAUUCGGAGGAUGCGAGCGUUAUCCGGAUUUAUUGGGUUUAAAGGGUGCGCAGGCGGAUUUUUAAGUCAGCGGUAAAAUCGUGGGGCUCAACCCCAUCCAGCCGGUGAAACUGGGGAUCUAGAGUGUGCGAGAGGUAUGCGGAAUGCGUGGUGUAGCGGUGAAAUGCAUAGAUAUCACGCAGAACCCCGAUUGCGAAGGCAGCAUACCGGUGCACAACUGACGCUCAGGCACGAAAGCGUGGGUAUCGAACAGGAUUAGAUACCCUUGUAGUC